GGGAAAGACAAAAACCUAAUAAAGCAUAAAAAAGCAAAGAUAAACCCUUCUACCUUCUGCAUAAUGAAUUAACUAGAAAUAACUUUAUAUGGAGAACUUCGACAAUGCCCCCCGAAACCAAGCGAGCUACCCAAGGAUAGCUAAAAGAGCACACCUGUCUGUGGCAAAAUAGUGGGAAAAUCUAUGGGUAGUGGUGAGAAACCUACCGAGCCUGGUGAAGCUGGUUGUCCAAGACAGAAUCUUAAAUUUACUUAGAGAACCAUUUAAUUCUCCCAUAAAUUUAAUUGUGAGUCUAAAGAGGGACAGCUCUUGAGACUCUAGGAAAUAACCUUCAAUAGAGAGUAAAACAUCCCACUACCAUAGUUGGUCUAAAAGCAGCCAUCAAUUAAGAAAGCAUUUAAGCUCAAUACUUACUCUUAAUUCUAUUCAUCCCACUGAACUAAAACACACUGGACUAAUCUAUUACUUAGUUGAAGCAAUAAUAUUAAUGUAAAUAACAUGAAAUUAUUCUCCCCGCAUAAGCUUAUCUCAGACUGAAAUAACUAGUUAGUGAACAGCCCAAUCGUUACAUACUACAGCUUAAUUUACCCAUUAACUAAACUGUUAACCUAACACAGGCAUGCACCCAGGAAAGAUUAAAAAAAGUAAAAGGAACUGGACAAACUUUACCCCUUCCUGUUUACCAAAAACAUCACCUCCAGCAUUAUCAGUAUUAGAGGCACUGCCUGCCCAGGGACACGUUUAAUGGCUGCAGUACCCUGACCGUGCAAAGGUAGCAUAAUCACUUGUUCUCUAAAUAAAGACUUGUAUGAAUGGUCACACGAGGGUUUAACUCUUACUUUUAAUCAGUGAAACUGACCUAUCCGUGAAGAGGCGGAUAUACCUAAAUAAGACGAGAAUACCCCAUGGAGCUUCAAAUUGAUAAUACAAACUAAUACUUUAAAACCCACAGGUAUUAACCUACUGUCAAUGUAUUACAAAUUUUGGUUGGGGUGACCUCGGAGUACAGUACAGCCCCCAAAAAACAUAUACCAAGACGUCACAAGUCUAAGUAAAUCUACACUUACUGACCCAAUAACUUGAUCAACGGACUAAGUUACCCUGGGGACAACAGCGCCAUCCUAUUCUAGAGUCCAUAUCGACAACAGGGUUUACGGCCUCGAUGUUGGAUCAGGACAUCCUAGUAAAGGUUCAUUUGUCCAACGAUUAAAGUCUUACAUGAUCUGAGUUCAGACCGGAGAAAUCCAGGUGGGUUUCUGUCUAUUAAAUAUUCCUCCCAG
rnacentral:rRNA from 1 species